rnacentral:rRNA from 1 species
GUAAACGAUGGAUACUAGGUGUGGGGGGUCUGACCCCUUCCGUGCCGGAGUUAACACAAUAAGUAUCCCACCUGGGGAGUACGAUCGCAAGGUUGAAACUCAAAGGAAUUGACGGGGGCCCGCACAAGCAGUGGAGUAUGUGGUUUAACUCGAAGCAACGCGAAGAACCUUACCAGGAUUUGACAUCCUACCAACGAAGCAGAGAUGCAUCAGGUGCCCUUCGGGGAAAGUAGAGACAGGUGGUGCGUGGUUGUCGUCAGCUCGUGUCGUGAGAUGUUGGGUUAAGUCCCGCAACGAGCGCAACCCCUAUUGCUAGUUGCUACGCAAGAGCACUCUAGCGAGACUGCCGUUGACAAAACGGAGGAAGGUGGGGACGACGUCAAAUCAUCAUGCCCCUUAUGUCCUGGGCUACACACGUACUACAAUGGCGGUCAACAAAGGGGAGCGAAACAGUGAUGUGGAGCAAAUCCCAAAAAGCCGUCUCAGUUCGGAU